UACGGAGGGUGCAAGCGUUAUCCGGAUUCACUGGGUUUAAAGGGUGCGUAGGCGGGUUGGUAAGUCCGUGGUGAAAUCUCCGAGCUUAACUCGGAAACUGCCGUGGAUACUAUCAAUCUUGAAUAUCGUGGAGGUAAGCGGAAUAUGUCAUGUAGCGGUGAAAUGCUUAGAUAUGACAUAGAACACCAAUUGCGUAGGCAGCUUACUACACGAUCAUUGACGCUGAGGCACGAAAGCGUGGGGAGCAAACAGGG
rnacentral:rRNA from 1 species